GAGCUAUGAUGAGAAUUGAGAUUGUCAUGCACCACUCUGAUUACCCGUGCUGAUAACUUUCUAUUACCCAUUUUAUCUCUGAGCUC
rfam:Spinacia oleracea cultivar SynViroflay scaffold1104.con0004.1, whole genome shotgun sequence.